rnacentral:misc_RNA from 1 species
CGAAAUGCGAUAAGUAAUGUGAAUUGCAGAAUUCAGUGAAUCAUCGAAUCUUUGAACGCACAUUGCGCCCGGGAGCAUUCUCCCGGGCAUGCCUGUUCGAGCGUCAUUUCAACCCUCGACCUCCCCUUGGGGAGGCCGGCCGUUGGAGAUCGGCAGCGAUUGCCGGCUCCCAAAUUCAGUGGCGACCCGCCGCGGGGACCCCUGCGCAGUAACAUACACUCGCACCGGAAACCAGACGUGUCACGCCGUAAAACCCCAACUUUCUGAACGUUGACCUCGGAUCAGGUAGGAAUACCCGCUGAACUUAAGC